GUAUCUUUAUUUCAAGCCCAGGGUGUCCAGAAGCAAGCGUAAAAGCAGUGGUGAUGUAGCCGGUACCGCUAAGAAGUGCCAAGCGAUAACGAUGGAAACAAAAGUGAAAAUAAUUGAGAGAGCGGAGCAACAGAGGAAGAAGAAGUAACUGAAGAACCAAAGAGAUUCACGACGCAGGUAACGGCAAGGGGGUUCUCUGCAUUUGAGGAGGCACUGAUAGUUUUUGAGGCACAGGACCUGAACGUACAACGAACGGUACACGAAGGCUGCAGCAGCCGUUCAGCCAUCCAGUGCCACCGUGUCAUCUAUGAUAAGAAAAAAAGAG